UAAUUUAAAGUCUAACCUGCCCAAUGAGUUAUUUGAAUGGCCGCGGUAUUUUGACCGUGCUAAGGUAGCAUAAUAAUUAGUUUUUUAAUUGGAAACUGGAAUGAAUGGUUGAACGAGGAAAAAGCUGUCUCAAUUUAAUUUUAUUAGAAUUUUAUUUUUAAGUAAAAAAGCUUAAAUAAUUUUAAAAGACGAGAAGACCCUAUAGAGUUUUAUAUUUUAUUUUAAGUUAAAUUAUUAGAAUUAUUAUUUUGAUUUAAUUUAACGUAUUUUGUUGGGGUGACAAAAAAAUUUAAUAAACUUUUUUUAUAUAUUAUCAUUGAUUUAUGAAUAAGUGAUCCA
rnacentral:rRNA from 1 species